rnacentral:piRNA from 1 species
UUGGCGUUCCAUUCAGACUUU